rnacentral:lncRNA from 1 species
CAUUCCUCUUUGUCUGGGGAGCUCUGGGGAGACAAGUCUGGCAGCUGCCAUAGGCAUGCCUCCAACCUGGAGUAGAAGGUGUGUGUAUGGAGGAGAAUGCAGCUGACGGAAGAAGAUAAAGAGCAGGAAGGUGGGUUCUGGAGGAAAGAGAAAAUCUGUAUUUGAUGUCUACUGAACCUGUUUGGCAUUCCAGAGAUGUCAGAAUCCUGAAGAAUACAUCUUAGCUGGUCUGGAAGAGUCGUCUUCCCCAGAUGACUCCCGAAAGCUCCAGUGGGCUGGACUUUGACUUGGUUCCAGUAGACAGCUCAGUGUUAUCCUGUGAACGACCAAGGAUUAAUCAAGAGAAAAAGGAGGAGGAAAGGAAGAGCUACCGAUGCAUGGGUGUCCCCCACCAUCUCCCAUAAAAAGCAUCUUAAAGAAAACCCUAAG